rnacentral:rRNA from 1 species
UACGUAGGGUGCAAGCGUUUGUCCGGAAUUAUUGGGCGUAAAGAGCUCGUAGGCGGUGUGUCGCGUCGGUCGUGAAAACCUGCAGCUUAACUGUGGGCUUGCGGUCGAUACGGGCAUCACUGGAGUUCGGCAGGGGAGACUGGAAUUCCUGGUGUAGCGGUGAAAUGCGCAGAUAUCAGGAGGAACACCGGUGGCGAAGGCGGGUCUCUGGGCCGAUACUGACGCUGAGGAGCGAAAGCGUGGGGAGCGAACGGG